GACGAACGCUGGCGGCGCGCUUAACACAUGCAAGUCGAACGAAGAGCGAUGGAAGCUUGCUUCUAUCAAUCUUAGUGGCGAACGGGUGAGUAACGCGUAAUCAACCUGCCCUUCAGAGGGGGACAACAGUUGGAAACGACUGCUAAUACCGCAUACGAUCUAACCUCGGCAUCGAGGAUAGAUGAAAGGUGGCCUCUACAUGUAAGCUAUCACUGAAGGAGGGGAUUGCGUCUGAUUAGCUAGUUGGAGGGGUAACGGCCCACCAAGGCGAUGAUCAGUAGCCGGUCUGAGAGGAUGAACGGCCACAUUGGGACUGAGACACGGCCCAGACUCCUACGGGAGGCAGCAGUGGGGAAUCUUCCGCAAUGGACGAAAGUCUGACGGAGCAACGCCGCGUGAGUGAUGACGGCCUUCGGGUUGUAAAGCUCUGUUAAUCGGGACGAAAGGCCUUCUUGCGAAUAGUGAGAAGGAUUGACGGUACCGGAAUAGAAAGCCACGGCUAACUACGUG
rnacentral:rRNA from 1 species